AACGAACGCUGGCGGCAUGCCUAACACAUGCAAGUCGAACGAGACCUUCGGGUCUAGUGGCGCACGGGUGCGUAACGCGUGGGAACCUGCCCUUAGGUUCGGAAUAACUCCCCGAAAGGGGUGCUAAUACCGGAUAAUGUCUUCGGACCAAAGAUUUAUCGCCUUUGGAUGGGCCCGCGUUGGAUUAGCUAGUUGGUAGGGUAAAAGCCUACCAAGGCGACGAUCCAUCGCUGGUCUGAGAGGAUGAUCAGCCACACUGGGACUGAGACACGGCCCAGACUCCUACGGGAAGCAGCAGUGGGGAAUAUUGGACAAUGGGCGAAAGCCUGAUCCAGCAAUGCCGCGUGAGUGAUGAAGGCCUUAGGGUUGUAAAGCUCUUUUACCCGGGAUGAUAAUGACAGUACCGGGAGAAUAAGCGCCGGCUAACUCCGUG
rnacentral:rRNA from 1 species